GCAAAUCCGGUACUCGUUAAGGCUGAGCUGUGAUGGGGAGAAGACAUUGAGUCUUCGAGUCGUUGAUUUCACACUGCCGAGAAAAGCCUCUAGAUAGAAAAUAGGUGCCCGUACCGCAAACCGACACAGGUAGUCAAGAUGAGAAUUCUAAGGUGAGCGAGCGAACUCUCGUUAAGGAACUCGGCAAAAUGACCCCGUAACUUCGGGAGAAGGGGUGCUCUUUAGGGUUAACGCCCAGAAGAGCCGCAGUGAAUAGGCCCAAGCGACUGUUUAUCAAAAACACAGGUCUCUGCUAAACCGUAAGGUGAUGUAUAGGGGCUGACGCCUGCCCGGUGCUGGAAGGUUAAGAGGAGUGGUUAGCUUCUGCGAAGCUACGAAUCGAAGCCCCAGUAAACGGCGGCCGUAACUAUAACGGUCCUAAGGUAGCGAAAUUCCUUGUCGGGUAAGUUCCGACCCGCACGAAAGGCGUAACGAUUUGGGCACUGUCUCAACGAGAGACUCGGUGAAAUCAUAGUACCUGUGAAGAUGCAGGUUACCCGCGACAGGACGGAAAGACCCCGUGGAGCUUUACUGUAGCCUGAUAUUGAAAUUCGGCACAGCUUGUACAGGAUAGGUAGGAGCCUUUGAAACGUGAGCGCUAGCUUACGUGGAGGCGCUGGUGGGAUACUACCCUAGCUGUGUUGGCUUUCUAACCCGCACCACUUAUCGUGGUGGGAGACAGUGUCAGGCGGGCAGUUUGACUGGGGCGGUCGCCUCCUAAAAGGUAACGGAGGCGCUCAAAGGUUCCCUCAGAAUGGUUGGAAAUCAUUCAUAGAGUGUAAAGGCAUAAGGGAGCUUGACUGCGAGACCUACAAGUCGAGCAGGGUCGAAAGACGGACUUAGUGAUCCGGUGGUUCCGCAUGGAAGGGCCAUCGCUCAACGGAUAAAAGCUACCCCGGGGAUAACAGGCUUAUCUCCCCCAAGAGUUCACAUCGACGGGGAGGUUUGGCACCUCGAUGUCGGCUCAUCGCAUCCUGGGGCUGUAGUCGGUCCCAAGGGUUGGGCUGUUCGCCCAUUAAAGCGGUACGCGAGCUGGGUUCAGAACGUCGUGAGACAGUUCGGUCCCUAUCCGUCGUGGGCGUAGGAAAUUUGAGAGGAGCUGUCCUUAGUACGAGAGGACCGGGAUGGACAUACCUCUGGUGUACCAGUUGUCGUGCCAACGGCAUAGCUGGGUAGCUAUGUGUGGACGGGAUAAGUGCUGAAAGCAUCUAAGCAUGAAGCCCCCCUCAAGAUGAGAUUUCCCAACUUCGGUUAUAAGAUCCCUCAAAGAUGAUGAGGUUAAUAGGUUCGAGGUGGAAGCAUGGUGACAUGUGGAGCUGACGAAUACUAA
rnacentral:rRNA from 1 species